rnacentral:lncRNA from 1 species
GUCUGAAAGCGGGACCACAGAGGGCAGUGCAGUAUGGGGUGAACCUGGGAAUGCCUACAACAGCUGCGAGAAGCCAUCAGAUCUGCAAUUCCUCACACUUCAACAGCCAACAAGGAAGCGAUUUAUGAAGGCCAGAGAAGGAGAGAAAGAAAUGAGGACGGACAGAAGAGACGGAGACAUAAACAGAGAGAAGAAUGGAGAAAAACAAAUAAACACAAAUGGGGAUACAGAGUUGAAAGAUGUGAUGAAGGCGAGCAAUAUGGAAGAGCGUGAGGAAAGAUCUGAGGAGACGUCUCCCAUGACAACAACAUCACCGACCCAUGGACGGUGUCGAAAGGAGUCCACGCCACACAGGGAGAGAACACAUAUCAACUGUGCGCGUGUGCGCGUGCUGACAUGGCUGUCACUGCCUUCUACCACCCAGGAACAGCUGUCAAUCACACCAGAUGAUCACCAUUCAACCACAUGA